UACGUAGGGGGCAAGCGUUGUCCGGAAUCAUUGGGCGUAAAGAGCGCGUAGGCGGCCAGUAAGUCCGCUCUGAAAGUCAGGGGCUCAACCCCUGAAUGCGGGUGGAUACUGCUGGCUAGAGUCCGGAAGAGGCGAGUGGAAUUCCUGGUGUAGCGGUGAAAUGCGCAGAGUAUCAGGAGGAACACCUGAGGUGAAGACGGUGCUGGCUGACACUGACGCUGAGGCGCGAAGCGUGGGAGCGAACAGGA
rnacentral:rRNA from 1 species